CAGCAGCCACGGGAAUACGUAGGUGGCAAGCGUUGUCCGGAAUUAUUGGGCGUAAAGGGCUCGCAGGCGGUUUCUUAAGUCUGAUGUGAAAGCCCCCGGCUCAACCGGGGAGGGUCAUUGGAAACUGGGAAACUUGAGUGCAGAAGAGGAGAGUGGAAUUCCACGUGUAGCGGUGAAAUGCGUAGAGAUGUGGAGGAACACCAGUGGCGAGGGCGACUCUCUGGUCUGUAACUGACGCUGAGGAGCGAAAGCGUGGGGAGCGAACAGGAUUAGAUACCCCUGUAGUCCCUGUCUCUUAUAA
rnacentral:rRNA from 1 species